rnacentral:rRNA from 1 species
AUAAUGGGUCAGCGACUUAUAUUCUGUAGCAAGGUUAACCGAAUAGGGGAGCCGAAGGGAAACCGAGUCUUAACUGGGCGUUAAGUUGCAGGGUAUAGACCCGAAACCCGGUGAUCUAGCCAUGGGCAGGUUGAAGGUUGGGUAACACUAACUGGAGGACCGAACCGACUAAUGUUGAAAAAUUAGCGGAUGACUUGUGGCUGGGGGUGAAAGGCCAAUCAAACCGGGAGAUAGCUGGUUCUCCCCGAAAGCUAUUUAGGUAGCGCCUCGUGAAUUCAUCUCCGGGGGUAGAGCACUGUUUCGGCAAGGGGGUCAUCCCGACUUACCAACCCGAUGCAAACUGCGAAUACCGGAGAAUGUUAUCACGGGAGACACACGGCGGGUGCUAACGUCCGUCGUGAAGAGGGAAACAACCCAGACCGCCAGCUAAGGUCCCAAAGUCAUGGUUAAGUGGGAAACGAUGUGGGAAGGCCCAGACAGCCAGGAUGUUGGCUUAGAAGCAGCCAUCAUUUAAAGAAAGCGUAAUAGCUCACUGGUCGAGUCGGCCUGCGCGGAAGAUGUAACGGGGCUAAACCAUGCACCGAAGCUGCGGCAGCGACGCUGAUGCGUUGUUGGGUAGGGGAGCGUUCUGUAAGCCUGCGAAGGUGUGCUGUGAGGCAUGCUGGAGGUAUCAGAAGUGCGAAUGCUGACAUAAGUAACGAUAAAGCGGGUGAAAAGCCCGCUCGCCGGAAGACCAAGGGUUCCUGUCCAACGUUAAUCGGGGCAGGGUGAGUCGACCCCUAAGGCGAGGCCGAAAGGCGUAGUCGAUGGGAAACAGGUUAAUAUUCCUGUACUUGGUGUUACUGCGAAGGGGGGACGGAGAAGGCUAUGUUGGCCGGGCGACGGUUGUCCCGGUUUAAGCGUGUAGGCUGGUUUUCCAGGCAAAUCCGGAAAAUCAAGGCUGAGGCGUGAUGACGAGGCACUGCGGUGCUGAAGCAACAAAUGCCCUGCUUCCAGGAAAAGCCUCUAAGCAUCAGGUAACAUCAAAUCGUACCCCAAACCGACACAGGUGGUCAGGUAGAGAAUACCAAGGCGCUUGAGAGAACUCGGGUGAAGGAACUAGGCAAAAUGGUGCCGUAACUUCGGGAGAAGGCACGCUGAUAUGUAGGUGAAGUCCCUCGCGGAUGGAGCUGAAAUCAGUCGAAGAUACCAGCUGGCUGCAACUGUUUAUUAAAAACACAGCACUGUGCAAACACGAAAGUGGACGUAUACGGUGUGACGCCUGCCCGGUGCCGGAAGGUUAAUUGAUGGGGUUAGCGCAAGCGAAGCUCUUGAUCGAAGCCCCGGUAAACGGCGGCCGUAACUAUAACGGUCCUAAGGUAGCGAAAUUCCUUGUCGGGUAAGUUCCGACCUGCACGAAUGGCGUAAUGAUGGCUAGGCUGUCUCCACCCGAGACUCAGUGAAAUUGAACUCGCUGUGAAGAUGCAGUGUACCCGCGGCAAGACGGAAAGACCCCGUGAACCUUUACUAUAGCUUGACACUGAACAUUGAGCCUUGAUGUGUAGGAUAGGUGGGAGGCUUUGAAGUGUGGACGCCAGUCUGCAUGGAGCCGACCUUGAAAUACCACCCUUUAAUGUUUGAUGUUCUAACGUUGACCCGUAAUCCGGGUUGCGGACAGUGUCUGGUGGGUAGUUUGACUGGGGCGGUCUCCUCCUAAAGAGUAACGGAGGAGCACGAAGGUUGGCUAAUCCUGGUCGGACAUCAGGAGGUUAGUGCAAUGGCAUAAGCCAGCUUGACUGCGAGCGUGACGGCGCGAGCAGGUGCGAAAGCAGGUCAUAGUGAUCCGGUGGUUCUGAAUGGAAGGGCCAUCGCUCAACGGAUAAAAGGUACUCCGGGGAUAACAGGCUGAUACCGCCCAAGAGUUCAUAUCGACGGCGGUGUUUGGCACCUCGAUGUCGGCUCAUCACAUCCUGGGGCUGAAGUAGGUCCCAAGGGUAUGGCUGUUCGCCAUUUAAAGUGGUACGCGAGCUGGGUUUAGAACGUCGUGAGACAGUUCGGUCCCUAUCUGCCGUGGGCGCUGGAGAACUGAGGGGGGCUGCUCCUAGUACGAGAGGACCGGAGUGGACGCAUCACUGGUGUUCGGGUUGUCAUGCCAAUGGCACUGCCCGGUAGCUAAAUGCGGAAGAGAUAAGUGCUGAAAGCAUCUAAGCACGAAACUUGCCCCGAGAUGAGUUCUCCCUGACUCCUUGAGAGUCCUGAAGGAACGUUGAAGACGACGACGUUGAUAGGCCGGGUGUGUAAGCGCAGCGAUGCGUUGAGCUAACCGGUACUAAUGAACCGUGAGG